GUGUCUAAUACUGGUCCAAGUAAUUUUUACUUGAAAUAUUCUGAAAGUAGAAAUAAUGUGUCAAAGGGCAUAAACUUGUGAACUAUGCAAACAUUUCCCAAUAGCAGUCACAUAAAAAUUCAUUAUAGGCUCAUGUCUGCAUUCCCUAUUUGUAAAUUUCCUAUUUAUAUCUUUCCUUAUUUUUACUGGACACAUUAUAUGUCCCUCACUUAUAUGUAAAUAAGAACAUGUCUAAAUAUAUCAAAUGCUCCUCAGUUUGACAUUUGUGUCUUUAGUGUGCACGUGGGGAGUGGAAGUACUGGCAUGUAUUUUCUUUACAAUAUACUAAUUUUAAAUAUUUAUGUAGAUAAAUUAUUUAUCAUUGUUAAAUCAAUUCUUGGUGUGCUGAUAAAAAUGUACUACUUAUCUGAGGAGUUAAAAAUCAUGUUUUCUUGUGAUAAAAGGUUAUUUUUAUUUUCUUUGUUUAGCAAUUAAUCCAGCAUAGAAUAACAAUUGAGUGCUAUGUAAAUUAAUUCAUAGAUACAUUAUUUGAAUACAGAAUCAAACCUUCCUGAUUUGCAAAAUCCUCAGAAUUAAUCCAAAAAUAACUAAAGGAUAUGUCUAGUAUGAUCACAGUGCAGCAUCACAUUCAAGGAAAUAUGACAAAAAAUAUUUCAUAUCAUUCUGUAAUGAUCAUAUAACAAUGAUCAUUACAGAAUGUUCAACUUGCACAUGUGUUAUCAAUUCAUAACCAUUCCACUGACCCUUUACCUUUUCCUCUCAUUAUUCAUAUUUCUCCAAAGCACCCAGCUAUACUUCGCUUACAUUUUUGGAAUGAGUUAUGCACUGGUUUGCUAAUAAUUAAUCAGAAAUUUGAGUGCAUAAUUUGUAUUAUUGCCC
rnacentral:lncRNA from 1 species